CUGGCUUCAGCAACACAUAUACUAAAAUUGGAAUGAUACAGAGAGGAUUAGCAUGGCCCUGCAUAAGAAUGAUAACGAAAUUGAUGAAGCAUUCCAUAUUUUU
rnacentral:snRNA from 1 species